UCCGGAAUCAUUGGGCGUAAAGGGCGUGUAGGCGGUCCGGUAAGUCGGCUGUGAAAGUCCAGGGCUCAACCCUGGGAUGCCGGUCGAUACUGCCGGACUAGAGUUCGGAAGAGGCGAGUGGAAUUCCCGGUGUAGCGGUGAAAUGCGCAGAUAUCGGGAGGAACACCGGUGGCGAAGGCGGGUCUCUGGGCCGUAACUGACGCUGAGGAGCGAAAGCGUGGUGAGCGAACAGG
rnacentral:rRNA from 1 species